UGUAUAAGAGACAGCUUGGUCAUACACGUACUUUUUGGGUGCAUAAUACUUCAACGCUGCAGUUUAACCAGAUCACGGCCAGAUUAAUGUACAUUUCAGAUCAUGCUUAUUUCUGGCAGGAUGUGGCAGUGAAUCAGGAAGUGAGUGCGGAAGAUUGGUCCUAUGCGGGCGAAAGUUUCGACAGUUCUUAUGAACGCGUACGUGCUGUAUUUGGACAGGAGGAAUCGCUCGGU
rnacentral:misc_RNA from 1 species